AAAGAUAUUAAAACAAGAACAUAACAUAGAUUGACCUGUUACUUUUUACUAUACCAUGUUACGAGUGGACUCAAGAGUGUUGAACAACAGCUUUUAUUUUCAAAAGCAUUCCCAACAUUUCUCUUUGAUCAUGUCCCAUUGAUUCCUGGCACAAAACGUGCCUAAAUGAAAGGGCCUAUGUGUAAUCAAAGUAUUUUGAGGAAACAGAAGUUUGAAAAUCUUACCUACGUACGAAAAUCUCUUGUGGCUAAACUGGUGUACUGUCAAUUGUGUGGAGCAACAUGUACAAGUACAAUUAUAGAAAUUGCACCUGGCAAACAGGGGAAAAUGUCAAAACAAAUAAAAUCAUCUGUAUAGAAUAUACAUCUGUAUUUGUAUUCAUAUUUCUGGAAGAUAUUCACAACCAAACCAUGACAGUCUACAUAAGCUGUUUUCUUCAUGUUUCUGUCUAUGAUAUUUUGAUUUUAGACCAUUGAACAAGGUUAUACCAAUCCCAUACAAUACAUAAAUACAAAAAUGUGAGCUUUGUACCAACAAAGUCAACAUUUUAUGGAUAGAAGUGACAGAACCAGGGCUGAUGGUGGUUGGCUGGUUUUGCCAGUUCAUGAGAAUCACAUAAGAGGCAACCCUGAAGUUACAUCAUCAAUUGAAAAAAAA